CCAAGGUCAAGGGAGCCGUGCGUCCAGCAGGUUCUUGAAUAUGUAUCAUGCACCAGGAGCUGAGAACACUACUUCUCAAGAAGAGUUCAUUGAAAGGACAUGGGCACAUUUGCAUGGCUGAGCAGGCUGCCCCUGCCUCUAUGUGGGUCACCUGGAAGACAUUUGCAGAAGAGAGGACAGCAGAAACGUGCUCACAGAAGGCCAGAAGCAGAACAAACAAGGUCCUGCUUUCACGUAACAGGCGCACAACAGGCAGGGCACCUCCCCCAAGUUGAGGGGGACUAGUCCUCGCUGGAGGCGGAACAGAGGUGGCCAAGCCCUGGAAGGACUAACUGGUCAGAGAUACCAACUCUCUGCUAAAGAGAGGAUGAGCUUCAAUAGCACCCCUGAACUCGAGCCUUUUCUCCGGGGAGAGGAGCUUCCCGGACUUUGCCUCUUUGCUACAGGCCGCUGCCACCAACUGGACCUAUGGAGCCCGCCUUCCCCAUGCCUGGCCCACUCUGCCAAGACAUCACUCCUCACCCAGGCCGGACCGGAAGUGAAGGUGAAUCAGAACAGAACUCACACCUCAGACUCACAUCCUUUCUCCACUGCAAAGAUAAGCUAAGAGAUUUUUAUUGCACUAAUAAUUAAGGGUAUACUAAUAUCUCAAAAUACUGAAUUAUUUCAGACAUACGAUUACAAUAGUCAUACAGUGAAUAGAGGGGGGACAGGAACCAACAGCCUGGAGGAACACAUC
rnacentral:lncRNA from 1 species